GAGGGGAGAUACAGGAAGGGGAGGAAUGAUUAUGAUAAAUAACGAAGACUAGACCCAGGAACCAAGAUGUGGGAAACCAGGGUGUGGGAAUGGAGAGAAGGGGACAAGUAGGAGAGAUGUUGGGGAGAAAUACUUGACCAUGCUUGAUAUUUUAUUGGAUUUGGAGCAGAGUGAGAGAGAGAGAGAGAGAGAGAGAGAGAGAGAGAGAGAGAGAGAGAGAGAGAAGCAAGGAAGACUUGGAGUUGCCCACUGAGAUACCAGGAAGGAAGGUAGAAAUAAGGAAAUGGAGAAAAAGGAUGAAUUGGGGCAGAGUUAGAAGAGUCUGAUCCAGAAGUUUUUGAGCUUGAGACAACUAUGGAACAACCAAAUACAGAGAUCCAUUAAGCAGCUGGGGAUGCAGGAUUGGAGGUCAGAGAGCUAAGAGCUAAAUGUAUAGAUGUGUGAGUCAUGCCAUGCUCAACCCCUUCAUUUUACAGGUGAAGAAACAGACUAAUGAAGUUAAAUGCCUGCCCAAGAUCGCAUAUGGAUCCACCCAAGAUGGUGCAACCAUGCAGAAGACACUGAGGACCUGCUUCCCAAAGACUGAGAGAACAGAGAAUGUGAGGUCAAUCUGUGUUGGCUUACCACAUCACCAGGUGAGCUGCCUUUAUUCAGACUCUUUGAAGUCAGAAAAGUCAACAUCUUUAAAACAUCCUGAAAUGAAGGACUCCUUCACUCAUAUCAAAUGAGAAAAUGGAUGAGGGAGAAGAUGGUCCUGGAGUGUCUCUCACUCUCAUUUCUCUACUUCAGGCCACAUGACCCCAAGAAACAACCCUAGGUUUUUGACCUUUUAAAUCUUUCUUUUCUAUUCUAG
rnacentral:lncRNA from 1 species